AAUGUAUUCAACUGCCUAACAGCGAUAAGAUUUUACAUCGCACAAAUCAAAGAUAAGUUCGAAUGAUCAACUGUUAUCCAAACGAAGUCAAACUUUGCGAAUCAAAGUUUCAAACUGGUUCGUUGAAUUUGAUAGUAGAGCAUCUUAUAAAGUCCAGGAUUUAUGAAAUUCUCGUUUAAGCAGAUGCUGCUAUAUAGCACUAUUAGCCCUAGUCAUCCGUUGCUGUUAUUUUACUUCCCUCAACCUUCAUGGAGGCUCCUGCAGAACCGCAACAACAAACCAGAGAUUCACCAGUUAACCAUGGAGAACCAGGCUUGCAAAGGAACACUUCUGCGACCAACCGAUGUCGACUUCCGAAGCUAAUACAUUACAAAUGGUGGCUUCGUGUGAUUCUCUACAUUCUCUUCCUUCUUGUUGGCCAAACAGCUGCUACUCUGCUAGGAAGAUUGUACUAUGACAAAGGUGGAAAUAGCAAAUGGAUGGCAACAUUUGUUCAAUCAGCCGGUUUCCCAAUUCUAUUUCCCGUUCUAUUUUUCUUCUCAUCUUCCACCAAAUCAAACAACCCGUCUGUUAAUUCUUCCUUUACAACCAACCCAAAACUCUCCACCCUUCUGCUUCUCUAUGCCGCCUUUGGCCUACUUUUGGUGGGUGACAACUUGAUGUACUCGUAUGGACUUUUAUACCUUCCUGUCUCUACUUAUUCUCUGCUUUGUGCGACCCAAUUGGCCUUCAAUGCAUUGUUCUCAUACUUUCUCAAUUCACAGAAGUUUACCUCUUACAUCCUCAACUGUUUAGUCCUUCUCACCAUUUCAGCCUCACUUCUUGCGGUCAAUGCAGACUCUGAAAACACUACAAGCAUUAGUAGAGGAAAGUAUGUAAUUGGAUUUUUAUGCACGCUUGGAGCAUCUGCGACCUACUCAUUGUACCUUUCCCUGCUGCAGCUUUCUUUUGAGAAGGUUAUUAAAAGAGAGACAUUUUCUGUUGUUUUGGAUAUGCAAAUGUACCCAUCAUUUGUUGCAACAUGCGGGUGUGUAGUGGGAUUAUUUGCCAGUCGAGAAUGGCAGGGUUUGUCAAAAGAGAUGAAAGAAUUUGAAGAAGGCAAAGUAUCAUAUCUAAUGACUCUGACUUGGACAGCAGUGACUUGGCAAAUUUCAUCAGUGGGAUUGUUGGGGUUAAUUUUUGAGGUAUCUUCUUUAUUUUCCAAUGUGAUUAGCACUUUGGCUUUGCCUAUUGUUCCCAUUUUCGCUGUCAUAUUUUUCCAUGAUAAGAUGCAAGGGGUGAAGGUCAUUGCCAUGCUGUUGGCAAUCUGGGGCUUUGCUUCCUACAUCUAUCAGCAUUAUUUAGAUGAUUUGAAAUCCGAAGCAAACAAAAGCAAAUCCAAUGAGGUUUCUGAGGCUGCUAUAGAGAUUUGUUGACAGUGGAAGUUAUCAAUUAGCAAUUUGGAAACACAGUUGAGAUGGCUUGCUGGAUUUUCUGCUUUGAAGUCCAAGAUGCUAACCUGAAUUAUUGCUUGCCCAGGUUCGCCGCAUUCUGAAGGAACUUGUGAGAAGAUCAUCAAUAGAAACUCAGGAGCUGAUGCGCUUUCCAACUCUUCUAGCUGAGAUUGCAGCAGGACCAGAUAUGCCCAAAGUUAAUAGGAAGCCUACGGCCGAGCAACUUGCUCAGUUACUCAAUGAAGACUCGCAGUUGAUGGAAAGGAGAGAGCAAUGUGCCAAGAGGCUUGAGUUAUACAGGUCUGCUAGAGAUGAGAUUGAUUGUGUCUCAUGGAUUAGAUGCAAGAAUUGUGAAUCACAGGACAUACCAGGGCACAAAGAUUUUCCAGUUGCAGGUCUUCUAGUCAAACUUGAACAGAAAUCGAAAGAUUAAACCAUCAUAGUAUUUCCUUUCAGUUGUUUCUGUCUCUUUUCAAAUUAUUGAUCGUUUAUAAGUUACAAAUACACUGAAAGGACAAAACAAUAUAGAAUUAAAUUCCAGACAAAAACACAGUAAUUGCAGCCGCUUGAGGAUAAAUUUGAUUAUAUUUCUAAUCCUCUACUUAUACUAUAGAUGAUAAGUAGAAAAGGUGGAGCUGCGGAGGACAAAGUGGGCAUUAAGAGCAUUAUUCAAUAUUAUUUAGAGUAAACCUUGUGACUUUGAAA